rnacentral:rRNA from 1 species
GAUGAACGCUGGCGGCGUGCCUAAUACAUGCAAGUCGAGCGAACAGACGAGGAGCUUGCUCCUCUGACGUUAGCGGCGGACGGGUGAGUAACACGUGGAUAACCUACCUAUAAGACUGGGAUAACUUCGGGAAACCGGAGCUAAUACCGGAUAAUAUAUUGAACCGCAUGGUUCAAUAGUGAAAGACGGUUUUGCUGUCACUUAUAGAUGGAUCCGCGCCGCAUUAGCUAGUUGGUAAGGUAACGGCUUACCAAGGCGACGAUGCGUAGCCGACCUGAGAGGGUGAUCGGCCACACUGGAACUGAGACACGGUCCAGACUCCUACGGGAGGCAGCAGUAGGGAAUCUUCCGCAAUGGGCGAAAGCCUGACGGAGUAACGCCGCGUGAGUGAUGAAGGUCUUCGGAUCGUAAAACUCUGUUAUUAGGGAAGAACAAAUGUGUAAGUAACUAUGCACGUCUUGACGGUACCUAAUCAGAGAGCCACGGCUAACUACGUG